UCUAUUCUUGGACAUACAUUUUAAGGUAUGUUCAUGGUCCUGCUAUGCUAACACCACCAUAUUUAAAAACGAAACUAGGUGGCAGACAAAUGUCAGAAAAAUGCCUAAGGGCCAGAAACACUUCCUAGCAAAUUCAUCUUGUGUUGCGGCCACUAGAGAGCUGUGUAGAUGGGUGCAUCUAUUACUUUUGACUGAGAAAGUGUCAAUAAAACUGACCUCAUCUGACCUGGUGCAAGCUGGAGCUGUCUGAUAAAAAUGUUGCUGACACACAGAGAUAAGCCAGCAACUAAGGGGUAUAAAAACUAUAAAAACAGCAGGUACAUGGAUGUGCAUUUGAGAAGCAUCAAGAUCAUGAAUACUCUGCAACGGCGAGUCCGAUGCUUCUUCCAGGAAUUGAAUAUCAAACUGUAAGCCGCCUUUGCUGGAAAUCCCUCCUGUGACGUCACUGGUUGAAGAAGGCAGCGGGAGAAGUAGGUGAACAGCACGGCGCUUAUUAGAGACCUGGCAAGUAUUGGAGACCGGCGAUUGUUUGAAGUUUUACGGAAUUAUCGUAUGUACAUGCCUGAUGUGUCUGCCUUUGUUCAAAGCUGUAACUGAAAACUGUCAGUGAGUGAUAUUACAGUUACAAGCAGCUGUUUGGAUGUCUUAUGGCCACUCAAGUAAGCAGUUCAAGUGUGAUAUGGAUUGGGAUAUCAGGCCUUAUGGAAGCAUUCCACUUUGUAAGCAGUGGCGCUAUACAGAACUAAUAGCUGACAAGAAUUACAUUUUAUAAUGCCUUUGUGCACAUGAGUGUUGCAAAGCUGUGGCUUCGGCUCAAAGUUCAUCUGCUCAAUGGGAGUUGGAAGUCUGGAGAUAGAAACCAAUAAUGUGGGGCAAACGCAUUGAAAACUAGGAACUUAUAGAUGUUUAGAAACACUUCUAACUGUGACCCAUCUUGAAAGAUGAAGUAGCAGAAGCGUCAUUAACACAACAAACACACCUGAAGCCUGUCAUCCUCAGUUUCCAGCAGUUAACUGAUUUAUGUUAUUGUACUUUGUUUUUGCCUUCAAUAGCCCCAGGGGUCUACACUUUAUUAGACUUUGUAAUUUGAACAGAUAAUUAUCCAGGUUACACUCCUGCAAUAAAUUAAUAUAGAAAUAUAAUGUUUCAAACCAGUAUUCCACUGGUCCUUGGAAAGAGAAUAAUGUAAAGAAUGUAUAAUUCACACAGUCAUAUUUUAUUGGAUUCUGUAUUAUAUUUAAUAAAA